GAUGAACGCUGGCGGCGUGCCUAAUACAUGCAAGUCGAGCGAACAGACGAGGAGCUUGCUCCUCUGACGUUAGCGGCUGACGGGUGAGUAACACGUGGAUAACCUACCUAUAAGACUUGGAUAACUUCGGGAAACCGGAGCUAAUACCGGAUAAUAUAUUGAACCGCAUGGUUCAAUAGUGAAAGACGGUUUUGCUGUCACUUAUAGAUGGAUCCGCGCCGCAUUAGCUAGUUGGUAAGGUAACGGCUUACCAAGGCAACGAUGCGUAGCCGACCUGAGAGGGUGAUCGGCCACACUGGAACUGAGACACGGUCCAGACUCCUACGGGAGGCAGCAGUAGGGAAUCUUCCGCAAUGGGCGAAAGCCUGACGGAGCAACGCCGCGUGAGUGAUGAAGGUCUUCGGAUCGUAAAACUCUGUUAUUAGGGAAGAACAAAUGUGUAAGUAACUAUGCACGUCUUGACGGUACCUAAUCAGAAAGCCACGGCUAACUACGUG
rnacentral:rRNA from 1 species